rnacentral:tRNA from 1 species
GGCAGUGUAGUCUAAUGGUUAAGACCAUGGGUUUUUGAUUCAGGAAGGUCAGGAUGGGAAUUCUAGCUCCUCUACUGCUG